CGGGGCGUGGCGCAGAUGGCUAGCGCAUCUCGUUCGGGACGAGAGGGUCACCCGUUCAAAUCGGGUCGCCCCGACCA
rnacentral:tRNA from 1 species